rfam:Stegodyphus mimosarum contig18949, whole genome shotgun sequence.
GCCUUCGUGGUGUAACAGUAGCACACUCGGCGCGUAUUCAAGAGGUCCAGGUUCGAGUCCCGGCGAAGGCA